GAAUAUUGGACAAUGGGGGCAACCCUGAUCCAGCGACGCCGCGUGAAGGAUGAAGGUCUUCGGAUUGUAAACUUCUUUUGGAGGGGAUGAAUGCCUACGUGAAUAACGUAGGGUGACAGUACCCUUCGAAUAAGCCACGGCUAACUACGUGCCAGCAGCCGCGGUAAUACGUAGGUGGCAAGCGUUACUCGGAAUCACUAGGCGUAAAGCGCAGGUAGGCGGUUUGAUAAGUCUGUUGUGAAAGCUCCCGGCUUAACUGGGAGAGGCCAACGGAAACUGUCAGGCUAGAGUGUGGUAGAGGAAGAUGGAAUUCCCGGUGUAGCGGUGAAGUGCGUAGAUAUCGGGAGGAAUACCUAUGGCGAAAGCAGUCUUCUGGACCAUCACUGACGCUGAUCUGCGAAAGCUAGGGGAGCAAACAGG
rnacentral:rRNA from 1 species